rnacentral:rRNA from 1 species
CCCUGCCUUUUGUACACACCGCCCGUCGCUACUACCGAUUGAAUGGCUCAGUGAGGCGUUCGGACUGGCUCGAGGAGGUUGGCAACGACCACUUCGAGCCGGAAAGUUCUCCAAACUCGGUCAUUUAG